GAGGCUGUUGCAAAGGUAGAGAGGGAGAAGUGACGAUGGUGAUCGUUGCUGCCGCGGCCGAUAUGGAACCCAAGCAGUGGCGAAGGGAAUCGCAAGGCUCUUCCCUGACCAUUUUCUACUGUCCCUGCGCGAGGUGAGGGCCCCGGCUCGGCCUCUGCAAAACUUUGGGGCGCUGGCGCGGAGGAGGAGACAGGAUUUCUCCCGUGACUUUUGUAACUGCGUCAGGGCAAGAUGGCGCUGGGUCUCUUUGGGGCGCGGGGGGAGAGGCACGUCCACCGCCGCAGCGCAUGUGACCGGGCUGCAUUCCUGUGGGGUUUGGCUCCGACCCAGGCCGGGGCGGGGGAGGGGACAGGGCUUGGGCGGAGGAGACUGUGGUGCGGUCGGCGUUGGCGGCCUGAAGAGGAAGAGAUGACUGUUGGAAAGCGUUCCCCUCCCCCAUACGGCAGAACAGCUGCGGCUCCCAGGGGAAAGCCCCCGCAGGACAGUCCUCGUGGGGUGUGACGGCUGUUGGUGGAGAAGGUUUGGCGCCCUAUUUUCUUAUCUGCCUUUCUCCCCGCAAAGUAUACUUAUGUAAGGUGGUAGUUCCCUGACGUGGGACUCGGAAUCAACUAGGAGUCCUUGAGGGCCUCUGGGAGGCCUAGCGAGGGGUAGACCAGCUUCUGGGGGUACAACGUCAAGGAGGAUCGAUUACUUUCUGAGGAAACAGUUUCUCAGAUUGAAAUAGAAAAGUAUUUCCAAAGUUUGGAAACAAAUUUAAAGGUGUAAAUAACACCCAGGAACACUUUAAUUGCUUUGAAAAGGCAUAAGCAGCCAUCUGAAUUUAAGGGCCCUUUUCAGACUCUUCCUUCCUCCUGUGAUUCCUGUUCUUUAUUUCAGUUUUCUGUCUGUACAUCCCUUAAGAAUAUAGUUUUGUCGGUGGGAUUCGCUCUUUUGUGCCCAGGCUGGAGUGCAGAGGCGAGAUCUCGGCCCACUGCAACCUCCGCCUCCCCGGGUUCAGGCGAGUCUCCUGCCUCAGCCUCCCAGGUAGCUGGGAUUACAGGCGCCCACAACCACACCCUGCUAAUUUUUUCUAUUUUUAGUAGAGACGGGGUUUCACCCCAUUGACCAGGCUGGUCUCGAACUCUCGAGAUCCGCCCGUCUCAGCUUCCCAAAGUGCUGGGAUUAUAGGCAUGAGCCACCGCGCCGGGCCUGCUUUUUUUUUUUUUUUUUUUUUUUGCACUGGGCAUUAGUAAUACGGAAUAAAAGCCGUGUUUUAAACUGUAUUAAGUUGUAAGACUUUUCAGUACUUUCAAGUCUGCUUUCUUUCUGUUGCCCUUUUGUAGUUUUUAAAAAUAAAAGAUGCAAUUAUAAGCA
rnacentral:lncRNA from 10 species